CUCUGCAUCUUCUGAUCUUAUAUCAGUCGUCCAAUAUUAAGGUCCCCUUCAUCUUAGAUCCGUAUUGGCAUAUACGCACGUACAAGAAGGCCCCUAGGGCAACCCGUACAAGCAGGAGGCUCUUUGAUUUGGGAAAUUUUAUGUAUUUUUUUAAUUUAAAGGAGAGGUAGGAAUUUCCCUGGAGAUCUCCAGAAGGCCCCUGGCUCGAGCACGCAGCUCCCCGAGGAGUUGGCACUUUGGUUGGUUGUCGGGCUCUUGCUUGUUGAAAGGCUGUAAGAGGAGGAUAAAGUUAGUUUUAAAAUAUGCCUUUGUAGGGCCUUAGGUGUAGGGCCUUAGGUGUAGGCCUUGAGGCUCGCAAUCAAAAUUAACUAAGUGCUUAGGUGUGCCACAGCCAUCUCAGUAUGACAGAUGCAGAACAAGUGUGUUUGAAUCGAUUACUUGCACUCCAAGUUAUUCUAACUUCUUGUUAUCAAAGGAUUGUCGUAUA